AGAGUUUGAUCAUGGCUCAGGAUAAACGCUGGCGGCGUGCCUAACACAUGCAAGUCGAACGCUCUUUUGCUCGCAAGAGCCAGAGGGAGUGGCGGACGGGUGAGUAACACAUGGGUGACCUACCCCACAGUGAGGAAUACCGGCGAGAAAUCGCCGACAAGACCGCAUAGGCUCGGUCCGGUGAAGCGGACAGAGCAAAGUCUCGCAAGAGACGCUGAGGGAUGGGCCUGUGGCCGAUUAGCUAGUUGGUAAGGUAAGGGCUUACCAAGGCGACGAUCGGUAGCUGGUCUGAGAGGACGAACAGCCACACUGGGAUUGAGAACGGCCCAGACUCCUACGGGGGGCAGCAGUGAGGAAUUUUCCGCAAUGGACGCAAGUCUGACGGAGCAACGCCGCGUGCAGGAGGACGCUUUUCGGAGUGUAAACUGCUUUUCUGUGGGACGAGCGAGGACGGUACCACAGGAAGAAGCCCCGGCUAACUACGUGCCAGCAGCCGCGGUAAUACGUAGGGGGCGAGCGUUGUCCGGAGUUACUGGGCGUAAAGGGCAUGCAGGCGGUCGGACGCGUUUCCAGUGACAGUGGGUGGCUUACCUACCCGAGGAUUGGAAAGACGGUUUGACUUGAGGACUCGAGAGGGACACGGAAUUCCGGGUGGAGUGGUGAAAUGCGUAGAGAUCCGGAGGAACAUCAAAGGCGAAGGCAGUGUCCUGGCGAGUGACUGACGCUGAGGUGCGAAAGCUAGGGGAGCGAACGGGAUUAGAUACCCCGGUAGUCCUAGCCGUAAACGAUGACCACCAGGUGUGGGAGGUAUCGACCCCUUCUGUGCCAAAGUUAACACAUUAAGUGGUCCGCCUGGGGAGUACGGUCGCAAGAUUAAAACUCAAAGGAAUUGACGGGGACCCGCACAAGCAGCGGAGCGUGUGGUUUAAUUCGAUGCGACGC
rnacentral:rRNA from 1 species